GCAGGCGUAGUUUAAUGGUAGAACUCCAGCUUCCCAAGCUGUUAGUACGGGUUCGAUUCCCGCCGCUUGCUCCA
rnacentral:tRNA from 1 species